AAAGUCACUAAAGAUCUUCCUGGAUUGCAGGUACAACCAUGAUCUCUACAAGGUGGCAGCUUGGAUGUUCAAACUGAAUUCAGCUGUAUUACAUAUACACCUCCUACUCCUCUACCCAGCCCUAGUGAAGGAAUCUUGACCUUCUUAGGCACCGAGAACCCAGACUGAAGCAAGGAGGGGUAAAAUGAAUGACUGCGAAAACCAUUUCUCUCUAGAGGCACGGAGAGGAGGAGGACCUUUUGACAGGAGGUCCCUAGGCCGCUGCCCUCUGAUGUGUGGACAAUCACGAGACCCAGAGUCAUCCUAGGGAGUUAAAGAACCACCAGCCUCACCACUGAAGACUGAGCACUGACGACUCCAGCCUUCCUGGAGAUGCGUAAGAAGCACAUGGCUUCCAGAAAUAAAAAUAAAGACAUUAAAAAAAAAAAAAAAGACUGACACACAGUCAUCAUGAAAAAGCAGCCCUCAAAACCCGGGCUUCUCUCUCAUUCUGUGCUGCUUUGAGGGUGACUGGCAACCCAUUUGUGUGCUCUAAAAGUUUUCAGAGGCAAAAGUAUCUUUAUUUUUGGAACACCUUUGGAAGAUCCUUAGCAUAUAACGCAUGGCUCCUCCUUCCAUACUUUCCUAAACGAUACCUGCAUGAAAGCAAAACGGACUUCCAGGGUUUGGUGUGACAAGCAGUGAAGAAUACUGGCUCAUUUAUUAGCGGCAGCCACAACCUUUUUUCAGACCAUAAAAAAAAAAAAAAAAUGAUGUCACUGCAUUUCGCCCAGAUCUGCUGUGGUGGCAAGAGUUUGGGAAAAUACCUGUCAGACGGAAAAACAAAAACCGGACAUUGUACU
rnacentral:lncRNA from 1 species